UAAUCUACUUACUUUAUGUUAUUUGACACGAAUAGAAGUUGGAGACAACGAUACUUCUGCUUUCAUUCAAGCGCGUAGCUGAUAGUCUCUGUUUGCCAAGACGCAUAUAGAUUUUCUCGCACCUCGUUAAAACGCGAAUUAACCAAUAAGAUACGCGAAAACGAAUCUUUUCCUUACUUUUACUUUCGAGUUAAGGAAAUCGACAUUUGGUGAAACUAUAGGGAACUGUUAUCUCCUCUCCGAUUUCGACGAUUUUCAAAUAUAUUAGAAAAAUCAACAUUUUGAAUGGCUUCUUCCUAUAAAUAUAACCGACGGUUGGUUUUAGUUUCCGAGAUACUUGCGAAAAACAAUCGGCAUCACUACAAUGAAUUCUGCCUAUAAUUGUGCGUCCAUAACAGCGUAUGCGUCAUUAUUGGUUGUUGGCCGCGUCAUGGCGCGACGCCUGGAUAAAGUGACAUUUAAUUCAAACCUAUAUAAACUAUACACAAAAGAUAAAAAUUAGAUUUAGGUUAGGCGUUAUUUUAUCCGAUCGCCGCGCCGUGAGGUGGUUGGCAACCAAUAACGAUGAAUACGCUGAAUAUAGGCAGAAUUCACCAUAAUGGUACCGACAGUUUCUUGCGAAUAUCUUGGAAACUAAUAUCGACUAUCGUUUAUAUGCAUAGGAAGUAGUUGUUCAAAAUGUUGAUGUAUGUAACAUACUUCAAAAUCAUCGAAAUUAGGGAAGAGGUGGCUUUUCUGCAGUUCCUUCUGACAUUCCUUUUCUGUUGAUUUAAAUACACUUUAAUGCGAUGUUCGAUAUAAAACAUUCGGAAUGUAGCAACGAAAGUUAAUCAUUUCUGGAGAUAUCGUUGAAUAUCGAUUUUUCUCUGAGAGGAAAUCGGUUGACGACAAUACGAACAGAAUCGGAAAAGUAAACAGCUCUUGAAAGAACGAGGCAUGGUGAAUGAUACGAUACAAUACGAUAGAUACAAUACAAUUCGAAACGAUAUGAUACGAGCCGAUCCGAUUUGAAUCGACGAGGUUGCCAAUAGACAAGUAGGUUAGAAGAAACUGCAAUGCGGAUUUUAAACGAAUCAGAAAUCAGUUACGUGUGUAGUGUAAUAAUGAAAAAAGUAGUCCGGCAUGACAAGAUGCGAUGAUGUUUAUUGAAUAUGUAUUUUUUAUGUAUUCACGUAAAGAUACGUACACAUACAUACAAGUGUAAAGCGAGAAAGAGAAGCAAUAAAUGUAUGUAAGAAUGUUCGAUGUACAUACGUACAUAUAAGCAUUCCUAUAAAUGAAUAUAUAUAUGUGUUUACUAUAAAAAAAGUUGUAUAAUACUGUACUUACAUUUUUUAAGUCCUGGAGAAGGAUUCCUAAUGCGUCUUCAUUAAUUAUGAACAAUGAAAUAAAUAGUUUUCAUAAAACUGUCUUUUUUCGAAUCGCACGAAAAUCUAAC